GCCCAACCAGGGGAGCAAGGAGGGCUGGAAGAGGAGGGGCCCACUGGUACCCCACACAGGCAUCCAGGUUGCUGGGUACAUGGUCGGCUACGCAGUCACACGACCCCACUUCCUGGUGGCACAGCCUGGCCGACACAGUGCAAGUCUUUGCUGGUCCAGCCUGGCCCCGUGGCCCCACAGAAGAAGCCGCCUUAUGGCCUUAGGCAAAAUUACAAGAAGCCAAGAUCCCCAGAUGGAAGAUACAGCCAACAAACACUUCAAAAGUUAAGGAAGCCUCGUCUACACUGGGUGAUCCAUGAAGCUCUAGACUUCAGGAAUUACUAUCCAGAUGGAAGGGCCCAACUCCAAGGAGCACUCCAACUCCUCCCAACUCAUCUCUGAAUUUGGGCAUCUCAGAGUUAACCUAGAUAACACUAACUCUGGAAAGAAUAUUAUCCUAAUGGAAGGGAGAGGCAGGGGUCUUAUGUAAGAUGGAGUAAAGAGACUGAGAUUUUUGAGAGCAUAUUAAUGUAUCUGCGUAAUAAAAUGAGAGAUGGUCAAUACUC